UGUCUUUUUGAAAAUAAUAUAAAGUCUAAUCUGCCCACUGAUUUUAUAUUAAAGGGCUGCAGUAUUUUGACUGUACAAAGGUAGCAUAAUCAUUAGUCAUUUAAUUGAUGACUUGUAUGAAAGAUUGAAUGAAAUAUAAACUGUCUCUUAAUUAUUAAUAUAAAAUUUAAUUUUUUAAUUAAAAAGUUAAAAUAAUUUAAAAAGACGAGAAGACCCUAUAGAGUUUUAUAUUUAAAUUAAUUAAGAUUAUUUAAAAUUUAAAAUUAAAAUUAAUUUAUUUAUUAUAUUGGGGUGAUAGAAAAAUAUAUAUAACUUUUUUUACAUAAAAACAUUUAUAAGUGAUUAAAUGAUCCAAUAAUAUUGAUUAUAAGAAAAAAUUACCUUAGGGAUAACAGCGUAAUUUUUUUUUUUAGUUCACAUAAAAAAAAGAGUUUGCGACCUCGAUGUUGGAUUAAGAUAAAAUUUAAAUGUAGAAG
rnacentral:rRNA from 1 species